UUUAUGACAGAUUUCUAUCAUGCGAAUCACAAGAAAAGUUGAGUUCAAUUGAUAUGCAAAUCAUGUGAAAUCAGCAUCAUAGGAACAAAUUUCACGAGGAAGCUUCUCAAAAUUUUUAACACGUGAAUUUCUUAAAAGUUCAAGAACAUGAACAAGUCAAUCAAGAAUAGAUCAUAGUAGCAUGUCACACCAUCAUUCUACAACAUAUUGAAAGCAAUUUGGACAAAUCUACUAUCUCAUGUUAAGACUAACAGCAACUAGCCACAGAAAAGGCAGCAUUUCUAUAAUCGAAUCAACUUCAAAAAUCAAAGACAGCAUUUCAUUAUAUAUUGUAACUAAAAGCACGUGAAUUUACAAAAUCCUGGAAGAGAUCAAGGUCUAUCAAAAGUAGAACAGGGCAGCAAGGCAAACAUACAACCAUAUUUUUUGCAGUUUUUAUGUGAAGGACAAC
rnacentral:lncRNA from 1 species